rnacentral:rRNA from 1 species
CCUACGGGAGGCAGCAGUGGGGAAUAUUGCGCAAUGGGGGAAACCCUGACGCAACAACGCCGCGUGAGUGAGGAAGGACUUCGGUCUGUAAAGCUCUGUUAAUGUGGAAAAAUGGUAGUUGGUCUAAUAGGCCGAUUAUUUGAUGGUACACAUAGAGGAAGCACCGGCUAACUUCGUGCCAGCAGCCGCGGUAAUACGAAGGGUGCAAGCGUUGUUCGGAUUUAUUGGGCGUAAAGCGCGCGUAGGCGGACCUGCAAGUCAGAUGUGAAAUCUCGGGGCUCAACCUCGAAACUGCGUCUGAAACUACAGGUCUAGAAUCUUGGAGGGGGAAGGGAAUUUCUCAUGUAGGGGUAAAAUCCGUAGAUAUGAGAAGGAACACCAGAGGCGAAGGCGCCUUCCUGGACAAGUAUUGACGCUGAGGCGCGAAAGCGUGGGGAUCAAACAGGAUUAGAUACCCUGGUAGUCCACGCUGUAAACGAUGAAUACUAGAUAUUGCAGGAUUUGACCCCAGCAGUGUCGUAGCUAACGCGUUAAGUAUUCCGCCUGGGAAGUACGGUCGCAAGACUAAAACUCAAAAUGAAAUUGACGG